rnacentral:tRNA from 1 species
GGGGAUUUAGCUCAGCGGCAUAAGCGCCUGUCUUGCAAGCAGGCGGUUGUGAGUUCAAUCCCUG